rnacentral:rRNA from 1 species
UAAUACGGAGGGUGCAAGCGUUAUCCGGAUUUAUUGGGUUUAAAGGGUCCGUAGGCGGGAUGAUAAGUCAGUGGUGAAAGCCCAUAGCUCAACUAUGGAACUGCCAUUGAAACUGUCAUUCUUGAAUCUAGUUGAAGUGAACGGGAUGUAACAUGUAGCGGUGAAAUGCAUAGAUAUGUUACAGAACACCAAUUGCGAAGGCAGUUCACUAAGCUAGUAUUGACGCUGAGGGACGAAAGCGUGGGUAGCGAACAGGAUUAGAUACCCUGGUAGUCCACGCCGUAAACUAUGAUAACUCGGUGCUGGCGAUAUACUGUCAGUGCCCAAGCGAAAGUGAUAAGUUAUCCACCUGGGGAGUACGAUCGCAAGGUUG